GUGGAGCUGCACAGGACAGCUCUGGUUUAAAAAAGUUUGGUGAAGACAGGCACUGACAGAGGCAGAGAAAGCGCGCAAGUCGCUUGCUGUGCGUCCAGGAUGACUUUUAUUCCGCAGUGCAAAAGUUUGAGAGUGAAAGAAAACCUGUCAAGUCAAAUAUUGGUGCAGACGCGCGCCUCGCAAAUGUUUGCAGAGUUUAAAAAGAAACAGAAAAGACGUGCAAAGCUUGCUCCAGACCGCCAGUGAUGUGGGCCCUUCUUAGUUUGCAGUGAGACAUUCUGAUGAAGAGGAGGAUGAAGACUGACAAACUGAGCUCAGGCACAGGAUUGAGAAACUGUCUCACCACAGGACUAUCUGGCUGGUUUCCACCACAUUCACCCAUCCUGACAACCGGUGGGGAAACCACCUCAGCAAAGCUCAUCCGUUGAAAUGUUGCUGAGUCAGUUUGGGGUCAUGACAUCAUCAUCAUGAGAUGGGGCGGCGGGUGAGUGGCGACCACAGGCAGCGACAGAAGAGGUGGUGCUGUGUGUCGUGGUUUGCAGCUGCUGGUUCUUGGCAAAAAAACAUGGUGCUGCGGAGUCGCCUCAGGGAAUAAUUUGCCCGAAUGUUGAAAGGGAGAACAAAUUCAAGAGGUUUGAAGGGGGUGGUAAGAUUUUUAUCGUCACGUUGCACCAGAUGACCGUAAAACACCUGCAGGACGUUGACAGUGUUGUUAACUGUCCAGGUGCUGAGGUUUUUUUGGCUUUCCAAACUCUUUCCGGCUUGUGGGCCGUUUUGGAGCAAAAUCUCCACACCCAGUAAAGUCAUGCAGAUGCUGUUGGAACCGCAGCUGGUGGUCAACACAGCAAGUAAAAGAUUACUCACAUUCUGCAGUGACAUAAAUUUUUGUAUGAGGACAAAGGAGUAGAAGCACUGCUGGGUCUUAGUAGUAUUCAGCUAAGUCUUCAUCUUUUGUGCGGAUCAGGCCACAUUCAUAUAUCACUCGUAUUGGCUUUUGCUCGAGGGGCUUUUGUUGCACUUGCUGUGGCAUGGUGAGCGUAGCUGUCGUUGGUUCUGCACCACUGUCUGUGUCUCCUCCGAGCAGUGCUGUCACAGUUUAAAGCAACGCCAACACAUUCUCACAUUGAGGUAAAUUGAAACGAGUGUGCAUAACUUUGGUAAUUAACAUAACUAAACAGCCUCAUGAUGCGUUUUCUUUUAUGACAUGUGGUGUUUCGUGGCGGGCGGGGUUCAGCUCCAGCUCCUUCACACACACACACACACACACACACACACACACACACACACACACACACACACACACACACACACACACACACACACACACACACUGGUGCUCAGCAGAGGGGAGGAGAACGCACAGUGGAGAGUUGAAGACUUGACGGCAGCUGCACUUGUUGCAUUGCUGUACAUGAAAGCUUCACACAGCUGAUGCAAGUUUAGAAGAUAAGAUCAGGCUCAAUAUAGCUGAUGAUGAUUAGUUAAAAAUGCCUUGAUCAGCCCCAGUCCCAAUCGUUUAAAUCAGAUCGAGACAUAUGGAAAACCAAUUUAAAGCGUUGAAUUAUAAAUAUUUUUAGUGAUAUACAGGCACUUUUUCAUGUAAAUAGACUGUUUUAUAGUUUUAUUUUUUACACUUACCUGCUGUAUUUGUAUGUAUGAAUAGUAAAAUAGUAUUUAGAAUAAGGUUUUUUUUGUUUGUUUGUUUUUUACAACCCUGAACGAUCACUAAAGAUUUGUAUGUUUUGAUAGGUGGCUGUGUUUUAUGUAAUUUGGAUUCCUGGCAGCUUUUCACUUUGUUAACUUGACAAAACAAGGAGCCAGACUUACACCUGAUUUUGUGCUGAGAUGAGGAAACCUUUCCCAGAGAGGUGGAAUCUGUGUUGCUGAUCUGUGUUGUGUUGUGUUGUGUUGUGUUGCUGAUGCAAGAUAUUUUGCAGAGUUUGGUUACAGGUUCACUGAGUUCACUAAAUUCUCUCGGUGGUAGCAGACUUUACAUCAGAGCAGUAAGACCCUACAGGACCACUGACCGAGACAAAAUAUUAAAAGUCCUGUUGGUUUAAUUUCUUUACUACGCUUCCUUUUUUUAACUCUGUAGAAAAACAAUUAGUUCCACUUGACUCAAAUCUACCAUAGGAAUAAAAUUAGUUAUUAGAAAUUAGUUUCAUAUUCGUCUUUGAAUUAGUUCCCUUAAAGUUAUUUAUUUUAAAUCGGUGUCCAGCGUCUGACACUUGGGUGUCUUUAAGAUGUCAUUUUUAGUUAACCUCACUUAUCUACUGUAAAAUAAAACAAGUAGUAUUUUGACAGCUAAUUUAGAAAGUUUUACAUGAAUUACAAAUUUGUGUGCUCCUAGGUUUUCUCCUAUUGUUCCCUAAGAACAGAACCCAGCCUCUCUGACUGUUUAAAGGUCAUCAUUUGUGAGAAUUUUGAAAUUCAGGCAGGUAAGGUUUCAAAUUUAAUUUUACACAAAACUUGUACUCAUGAAAUGUCUGCAUGUUUUUUUUUGUGGCAUCGGCUAAUGAAUGAAUUUGUUCUUCCUCUCUGUACGUUGUAGAUAAUGAACCUGUGUCUUAACAAUCUAAAUAAAUUGAUAAACUGAA